GGAAUGUCCUUGUGCUGAAUUUAGUAAAGGUUCUUGUGCUGAAUUUAGUAAAACAGAGACCACCAGAGGAAGUGAUGAGAGACUGGCAAUGAUGUACUGAAUGAGCAUGGUGGAAAGACAACAUAGUCAAAUGGGGGUUUGUCAUAAGCCUAACUUGUGCACAGCCUGCUUUGAUAGAGAGCCUACAGGAUAUUUUCAUCUAUGUGACCUUACCGCCUGUAUACCAACUAAAUAUUUUUAAAAACAAUGUAGGAAGAAAUGCCCUAAAUAUGGGACUAAAAUUGAAACUGUCAGAAACAUUUAUAACUAAAAAAGUAUUUGAUGAUAUAAUAGCAAUUCUGACAUGACUAAAAUCAAGGUAGAUACUUAAGAGCGGAAAGCAUUUUAAGUUAACUGUUUACUUCUUUCGAUGUAGGACACAGUGGAGAAUUGGUAACAUGCUUCUUGAAUUUAGAAUAUUAGAAACCGAUGCGUCUUUGAAAUUUAUUUAUACUGUGAACAGUAUUGGAUAUAAAGGCAACGUCCAUGCUAAGAUAUUGACAUCUUAUUUUUUAUAUAACUUUGAACCAGCUAUAAUGAUUCAACCAUGGCUACAUCUUGUAUCUACUAAUUUACAGGACAUAAGGCAAUAUCUAUAAUGUUA
rnacentral:lncRNA from 1 species